rnacentral:rRNA from 1 species
AGCAGCCGCGGUAAUUCCAGCUCCAAUAGCGUAUAUUAAAGUUGUUGCAGUUAAAAAGCUCGUAGUUGAAUUUCGGGAUCAAUAUGCCGGUCAUGCCUUGGUAUGUACUGGUAUCUUUGAUUUCUCCCUUCUGACGAACUUUGAUGUCAUUAAUUUGGUGUCAUAGGGAAUCAGGACUGUUACUUUGAAAAAUUGAGUGUUUAAAGCAGGCUCACGCUUGAAUACAUUAGCAUGGAAUAAUGAGAUAGGACGUUUGAUUCUAUUUUGUUGGUUUCUAGGAUCGACGUAAUGAUUAAUAGGGAUAGUUGGGGGCAUUAGUAUUCAAUUGUCAGAGGUGAAAUU